rnacentral:rRNA from 1 species
UACACUCCUGCGGGAGGCAGCAGUGGGGAAUAUUGGACAAUGGGCGCAAGCCUGAUCCAGCCAUGCCGCGUGAGUGAUGAAGGCCCUAGGGUUGUAAAGCUCUUUCACCGGUGAAGAUAAUGACGGUAACCGGAGAAGAAGCCCCGGCUAACUUCGUGCCAGCAGCCGCGGUAAUACGAAGGGGGCUAGCGUUGUUCGGAUUUACUGGGCGUAAAGCGCACGUAGGCGGACUAUUAAGUCAGGGGUGAAAUCCCGGGGCUCAACCCCGGAACUGCCUUUGAUACUGGUAGUCUUGAGUUCGAGAGAGGUGAGUGGAAUUCCGAGUGUAGAGGUGAAAUUCGUAGAUAUUCGGAGGAACACCAGUGGCGAAGGCGGCUCACUGGCUCGAUACUGACGCUGAGGUGCGAAAGCGUGGGGAGCAAACAGGAUUAGAAACCCUAGUAGUCCCAUGA